AGUAGCCACUCAGAUGACAGAGCAGCUUCUAUCGCAGUCCCACACCGGAGUUCAGCGUCAAAGGAGAGGAGGAGAGAUCAAGGAGGGAGCCGUCCCUAGGUGAUGGGAGGUCAAGCAUCGGCACCGGAGCGCGGCGGGAUAGGCGACGCCGGCCGGCCGCCGCCCCACCACAGGCUUCGUCUACGACGCAGAGACCGGCGGCGCUGAUGUGUCGAUCAACGAGCGCCGCCUUAAGUCCUCAGAUCGGCGAGGGUGGCGUCGCCUUCGUCUACCUCGACAAGGUGCAGGACACUUGAGAACCGACUAUGUUUGUGACAGUAUGUUGGGGCUCAAGCGACAAUGAGCAGGUGGGAGGAUCAUUCGACUGACCAAGUGCAGUAUGAUGGUGAUCUCUGAACAGUUGCAAGGAGGCUAACAACAUGUUAGCUCUUUUUAAUAUCUUGGUUGAUGCGAUCUGUCAGAUUUAGCCCACCGAGUCCUUAUUUUGCAUUUACUUUGCUUCUCUAAAGUUCUCUUCAUGCUGUAAGGAAGACGCGAGGGUUGGUUGCAUUCCUGCUGCUGCCUUGCUUGAGAUGAAUCCAUUUGGUUCUUUUGCCUUUCAAUUCUGUAACACUGUCAUAUCGAUUGUUAGGUGUCAUUCUGCUUCUCCUUGCACGUCUAUUUGUGCGCUUGGGUUGCCAAGCAGGUUACUGACACAUGGGAUCGUAUAGCUGUUCUAUUACUCAGGGCCACCCUGGUGGUCAUUAUAUCUCUGGGUUAAGCAAGCUGAGCAGGUUAUGCAAGCUACUGUGUAAAAUGUGCAUGCAUCGCUGCCUAAAAAGGGGGUCCAGACAGCAUGCUUACUAUGCUCCAUUAAAGCAGCUAAGAAGAUCCUGUCAGGGAGGUGGUUGACAUUACGGACAAAUUCAUACUCUCAUGUUCGUUAAGCUGCGGCUCCCACCACCAGUUUUUCUGCUGCAAAGUUGGACAGAGGUUUGCAGUUACAAUCAAGUUCCAUAUCAGCAUGCAGCAUCAGUGACAUGAUGCUGAAGCAAUGGCACUAUAGGGGAUUCUGGGUAUUCAUCUAAUACCAUAGAAGAUGUAAUGUAUGUUGCAGCUGCUCGAGUUAUCAGAUGCAUGGAGACUCUGCGUGGCAAGGUUCUCAAGGACUAUAGUUACAACAAACUGAAACUAAAGGAAACAGGACUGCAUCUAAUUGGUUUGUUAAGGGAGAAAGAAAGGAGAUCAAAGAACAUAAUUCAAAGAUCAGAGAUCUUAGCAAAGGCUUUGCAGGCUAUAUGUAUCAAGUCCAAAACACUUUUGCCGGGAUUUAUCGCAUAGCUAAAAACGGUGUAUGCUCAACCAGUUCUAAACAUGGCAAUGACCUUAGCAAAGCUGCUGCCUUCUUUCAACACAACAAAGCUGUUGUCGACGUGCAGAAUGAACUUGCUCAUCUGAACAAUUGAUGACUCUAUGCAGCUGAUUUGAAACAUAGGGUUUUAUCCCUUUUAAAGAGUCUACUUCCAUAACCUAUGUAUCUUUGGAAAAUGCAGAUGCUACUAGCUACAACAGCCCGCUUUAAAUGACCAGCGAUAAAUGCAACGAUUCAAGUACCAAUCAUUCAUGCUCCUCUUUUGUCCUGUUGGUGAACUUUGAACUAUACACUACCCAUCUAUAUAUUUAUUUAUUAGUUACUAUGGCGAUGACACAUGUAAAUUAAACCACUGUUGAGUUCUCCACUCCAUGCUAUGUUAGAUCCAUGUGAUAUAUCUAUGCCAACUGCAUUCACUCUCUGUUGUUUAGUGCCAAUAUUUUCUUAUA